rnacentral:rRNA from 1 species
UAAUGGCCUACCAAGGCGACAAUCCGUAGCUGGUCUGAGAGGACCACCAGCCACACCGGUAACUGAACACGGUCCGGACUCCUACGGGAGGCAGCAGUGGGGAAUAUUGCGCAAUGGGCGAAAGCCUGACGCAGCGCCGCCUCGUGGGGGAUGAAGGCCUUCGGGUUGUAAACCCUUUUCAGCAGGGACGAAGCGAAAGUGACGGUACCUGCAGAAGAAGCGCCGGCUAACUACGUGCCAGCAGCCGCGGUAAUACGAAGGGUGCUAGCGUUGCUCGGAAUGACUGGUCGUAAACGGCGCGUAGGCGGUUUGUUUAGUUAGACGUGAAAUUCCUGGGCUCAAGCUGGGGGACUGCGUUUUAAUACAGGCAUUCUUGAGUGUGGAAGAUGGUUGUGGUAAUCUCCCCAGUGUAGGUGGAUGAAUAAUUCGU